GCCUGGCUAUCUCAGUUGGAAGAGCAUGUGACUCUUGAUCUCAGGGUUGUGAGUUGAAGCCUCAUGUUGGGUG
rnacentral:tRNA from 1 species